rnacentral:misc_RNA from 1 species
AAACUUUUGUCAAGAGGUCGUU